GGGGAAUAUUGGGCAAUGGGCGCAAGCCUGACCCAGCAACGCCGCGUGAAGGAAGAAGGCUUUCGGGUUGUAAACUUCUUUUAAGAGGGAAGAGUAGAAGACGGUACCUCUAGAAUAAGCCACGGCUAACUACGUGCCAGCAGCCGCGGUAAUACGUAGGUGGCAAGCGUUGUCCGGAUUUACUGGGUGUAAAGGGCGUGCAGCCGGGUCUGCAAGUCAGAUGUGAAAUCCAUGGGCUCAACCCAUGAACUGCAUUUGAAACUGUAGAUCUUGAGUGUCGGAGGGGCAAUCGGAAUUCCUAGUGUAGCGGAGAAAUGCGUAGAUAUUAGGAGGAACACCAGUGGCGAAGGCGGAUUGCUGGACGAUAACUGACGGUGAGGCGCGAAAGUGUGGGGAGCAAAC
rnacentral:rRNA from 1 species